AAAUUGAAGAGUUUGAUCAUGGCUCAGAUUGAACGCUGGCGGCAGGCCUAACACAUGCAAGUCGAACGGUAACAGGAAGCAGCUUGCUGCUUUGCUGACGAGUGGCGGACGGGUGAGUAAUGUCUGGGAAACUGCCUGAUGGAGGGGGAUAACUACUGGAAACGGUGGCUAAUACCGCAUAACGUCGCAAGACCAAAGAGGGGGACCUUCGGGCCUCUUGCCAUCAGAUGUGCCCAGAUGGGAUUAGCUUGUUGGUGAGGUAACGGCUCACCAAGGCGACGAUCCCUAGCUGGUCUGAGAGGAUGACCAGCCACACUGGAACUGAGACACGGUCCAGACUCCUACGGGAGGCAGCAGUGGGGAAUAUUGCACAAUGGGCGCAAGCC
rnacentral:rRNA from 1 species